CACACCACCAUCACCCGCACGCAUGGAGAGGGGAGAGUAACCCUCCUUCCUCUCUCUAGAUAUCUCUCUCAUCUCUCUAAAUCUCUCUCUAAAAAUUGGAGGGUUGGUGGAGAAGAUGCUUACGAACGCGUUGGGAGCGACGGAUCGGGCUUUCGUGCGGCCGUUGGAGCGGUGUGUGGUCGUCGCGGCGUUCACUUUGAGGUAAGCUUUUAGGAUUUGGCUUAAUCCUUAAUUCUAAGUGUUCUAAUAGCCUCUAAUGAGCAUUCUAAACAUGUUUGCUCCAUUUAAUUUGGAUUAUUUGGAGAUUAAUUCAUGUUAGGCUUAGAAAAUGGGGUUUUGUAGAAUAUGAGGGUUUGAUCUCAUUUGACCCUCCGUAAACCAAAUUGCUAGGUAAACGAACGCGUUGGCGAAGACGGUUCGGCAAUCCGACGAGCCGUUAAAAAGUUAUUAAAGAAAUGGAUGUUUAGGCUUCGGGUCCGCCGGGAGGGCCGAGGCGAUAUCGUAAAUUCAUGAAAACGGAUUUGAAGCAUCGUACCAAGAAACCGAAGACCUUUAAUUUUCAGAUUGCGGAUCGGAGGUCGUUUGGUGGUCGCGCGCGGAUUGGGUCAAGCCGAGCGGCGUGCGCCGCGGGAGGCCGAUUGCAAGUGACGACGAGCAAUCGGAACGCAAUAAAAGGUGGGGGAGUGCCAUCCCGAAGUCAUCGGGCUUCUUCCUAUGUCUUAGUGUUUAUCCGUUCACAUGUAGCAUAUUGUAUGUUGCUAUGCAUUAUAGGAUGACAAUACAUGCAUUCCUAAUCCUUAUAUGAUGUUUAUGAUCAAUAUAGUAUUAUGAUAUGGAUAUAUGAUGUGAUGGACAUAAGGAUUAUGAGAUGACAUUGGUAAACCUAUGAUGCUAAAUGAAAGAAGAACCUAGUGUUGUGUUUU
rnacentral:lncRNA from 1 species